rnacentral:misc_RNA from 1 species
GGGUUUGUGGAUAAAUAAUAUUAGAGUAUUUUUAUGGUAGAUGUGCAUAGAAUACCAAAAAGCAUUGCCAUAUCGCUCCUGUGAGAUGCUGAGAUUGGCCCCUAAUUUUGGCUGCUGGAGAAGUUGAUGCUAGUGGGAGUUUUUCUUUUGGCCUCAGUAGAGUGUCGGUUUGCAAGAUAUCAAAUGGUGUGAGGUCUUCACAUCUAUGGCUUCCUAAUUUCUGGCGUUGAUUGAUGAGUGAUUCUGCUUGGAGCUAUGGCGACGGCUAGGUUUCUCUUCUUCUCUUGUAAAGAAGAUGGUUCCCGAAUCUACUACUUGGUUCCAGUUCAAUAUUUUCUUUGUUAUUUCGUUAUUGUGGCUCUGUUUAUAAUGGUUUUUACUAAAUGA